GGCAUGGUGGCGUAGUGGUUAGCACUACCGCCUCAUAGCAGGGCGUGGGUUCGAAUCUGGCCUGGGGCA